CUGGCUCAGGACGAACGCUGGCGGCGUGCUUAACACAUGCAAGUCGAACGGGGCGAUUUGAAAGCUUGCUUUUGAUGAGCCUAGUGGCAAACGGGUGAGUAACGCGUAGGCAACCUGCCCUCAGGAUGGGGACAACGGCCCGAAAGGACCGCUAAUACC
rnacentral:rRNA from 1 species